CGAGGCUGCUGUUUCCAUGGUGAUCCCCAGCAAAGCCCAGGGCCCCCCCUUGCCGGCCCCCCCACAGGCCCUAUUCAGUGGCGAGAGCAGCGACAGGCAGAAGAAACCAAGGCUCAGAGAGAUUAAGCCACUUGCUUGAGAUCACACAGUUGUCAAGACGCAGCAUCAGGACUCGAGUAGCACGUUUUCCCACAGGACUCGGUCUUUCUCAAUGCCUCUUGGUUCUCAGGGGAAUGAGUACUCCAGGAGCAUUAUGAGUUAGAGGCUAUCAUCACACACGUUUUACACUUGGGAAAACUGAGGCUUGGAGAAGUGGAACGCUCUGCCCGAGGUCACUGGGCCGCGGGUAAUAAAGCCAGGACUUAAAGCGGUCCCGUCCAACUCCAGAGCGGCACCCACCCGUCCUCCCUGACCCAAGAGUAAGACAGACUGACUUGAAGUCGUGACAGAGAGUCCAGCCACGGUGAGUGGGGAGUCCGAGAACCUCAUUAGGCGUGAAGCUGCCACACAUGUCAAAAACCCCAGCUGCCCAGCCAGCUCCACUCGGCUUCCAGCGCACAGUGUAAACAUCCUUACUAAUUCACCAAGCUCAAUCACGUUACUGUGAUGGAUUUUCCCAUCAUUACUCCUGAGUGAGUGACAACCUGCUCAGACACUUGCCUUCCCCCGCUGCCUUCCGAGAGUUUCAGAAAUCACAAUGCUUUGCUCCCUAAGUUGAUUUCAACUUGUCCUAAAGUCAUUUUAAUUGGUGAAG